rnacentral:rRNA from 1 species
GACGAAGGUGGCGAGCGUUGUUCGGAAUCACUGGGCAUAAAGCGCGCGUAGGCGGCUAUGUAAGUCAGGUGUGAAAGCCCUCGGCUCAACCGAGGAACUGCGCCUGAUACUGCAUGGCUUGAGGUCCGGAGGGGAGAGUGGAAUUCCCGGUGGAGCGGUGAAAUGCGUAGAGAUCGGGAAGAACGCCGGCGGCGAAAGCGACUCUCUGGUCGGAAUCUGACGCUGAGGCGCGAAAGCUAGGGGAGCAAACGGG